UACGGAGGGUGCGAGCGUUAUUCGGAAUAACUGGGCGUAAAGGGCACGCAGGCGGGCUUUUAAGUGAGAUGUGAAAUACCCGGGCUUAACCUGGGAAAAGCAUUUCAGACUGGGAGUCUAGAGUACUUUAGGGAGGGGUAGAAUUCCACGUGUAGCGGUGAAAUGCGUAGAGAUGUGGAGGAAUACCAAAGGCGAAGGCAGCCCCCUGGGACUGUACUGACGCUCAUGUGCGAAAGCGUGGGGAGCAAACAGG
rnacentral:rRNA from 1 species